CUACGGAGGGUGCAAGCGUUAUUCGGAAUCACUGGGCGUAAAGGACGCGUAGGCGGGUUGGCAAGUCAGAUGUGAUAUCCUACAGCUUAACUGUAGAACUGCAUUUGAAACUGCUAACCUAGAGUAUGGGAGGGGGAGAUGGAAUUAGUGGUGUAGGGGUAAAAUCCGUAGAUAUCACUAGGAAUACCGAAAGCGAAGGCGAUCUCCUGGAACAUAACUGACGCUAAGGCGUGAAAGCGUGGGGAGCAAACAGGAUUAGAAACCCCAGUAGUCC
rnacentral:rRNA from 1 species